rnacentral:rRNA from 1 species
ACUCCUACGGGAGGCAGCAGUGGGUAAUUUUGGGCAAGGCAGGCAAGCGUGAUCCAGCCCUGCCGCGUGAGUGAAGAAGGCCUUCGGGUUGUAAAGCUCUUUCGGCCGGGAAGAAAUCGCAUUCUCUAAUAUAGGAUGUGGAUGACGGUACCGGACUAAGAAGCACCGGCUAACUACGUGCCAGCAGCCGCGGUAAU